rnacentral:rRNA from 1 species
CCUACGGGAGGCAGCAGUGAGGAAUAUUGGUCAAUGGACGGAAGCCUGAACCAGCCAAGCCGCGUGCGGGAUGAAGGCUCUACGAGUAGUAAACCGCUUUUGUACGGGAGUAAACCCGAACACGUGUAUUCGGCUGAAUGUACCUUACGCAUAAGGAUCGGCUAACUCCGUGCCAGCAGCCGCGGUACUACGGAGGAUGCAAGCGUUAUCCGGAUUUAUUGGGUUUAAAGGGUGCGUAGGUGGAGUGUUAAGUAAGAGGUGAAAGGUCGGAGCUUAACCCGGGAACUGCCGGUAAUAAUGGCGUUCUAGAGAGUAGAUGAGGUAGGCGGAAUGUGUGGUGUAGCGGUGAAAUGCAGAGAUAUCACGCAGAACACCGAUUGCGAAGGCAGCUUACCAAUCUAUAACUGACGUUGAGGCACGAAAGCGUGGGGAGCAAACAGGAUUAGAUACCCGGGUAGUC